GACGUAGGGUGCAAGCGUUGUCCGGAUUUAUUGGGCGUAAAGAGUUCGUAGGCGGUUGCCUAAGUCUGAUGUUAAAUCCCGGAGCUCAACUUCGGUAUGGCAUUGGAAACUGGGCAGCUUGAGUAUGAUAGAGGUUACGGGAAUUCCUGGUGUAGCGGUGAAAUGCGUAGAUAUCAGGAGGAACACCGGUGGCGAAAGCGCGUAACUGGGUCAUAACUGACGCUGAGGAACGAAAGCCAGGGUAGCAAAAAGGAUUAGAUACCCUUGUAGUCCUGGCCGUAAACGAUGGAUACUAGGUGUUGGUGGAUUCGACCCCAUCAGUGCCGUAGCUAACGCGAUAAGUAUCCCGCCUGGGGAGUACGACCGCAAGGUUGAA
rnacentral:rRNA from 1 species